ACAAGAGAAAAAUCAAUACUUGAGGGAAUGGUGCCAAAGUAAUCAAGCCUUAAAUAAUAUACUUGUAAAUGAAGAAAUUGACAACUCAUUGCAUGUCAAAUCUAGUAUUAAUGAAGUCGAGAUUUGUAUUGAUUUCAAAAACAUUAAAAUUGAGAACUAUAGUGACUUAUUUUGUGUCUGAUCAUAAAGAUACUUCUGAAACUGAGAGUUCUGAUCUAGACUCUGAGGUUCCUAUGAAUGAUGAUAAUGAAGAUCUUAAUGAUGGAGUACUUGUUACAGAGAUUGCCAAAUGGACUUUAAAACACAGAAUAACUAUAAAUGCUAGUGAUGAACUGUUUUUUUUAAUUUUACACCAGUAUGGUCAUCAUGUUGAUUUACUCAAAUGAACAAGUACAAUUUAAAAUACUUCUAGGAAUGUUCCAAGUGAGUUAAAAUGUGGAGGUGAGUAUGUUUAUUUUAGUAUUUCAAACAGUAUAUCAAGAACUUUAGUAGUCAACUAGCAUUAUAGAUUUGAGUCAAGUACAAUUUUUCUAGUUGUCAAUGUAGAUAGCCUUCCCUUAUUCGAGUCAUCAAACACACAGGCCUAUAAUAUGUAUGUUUGACAAAGGGACACCAUUUAUUGUAUUGCUAUUUGUUAGUGAUAACAAGCCAAAUAUUAGUGAUGAUUUUUUAUAUGAUUUUUUGCAUGAGUAUGAGUUAUUAUUGGCAAAUGGUUUUCAGUAUAAUUCAUAUAACUUCAAUUACAUCUUGAGAAAGAUUUUUGCAAAUGUGCGAAUAAAAAUGACAGGAAGUUAAAGCGUAACCGUUUUUAAAAGAUUGAGUCCCUUAAAGAAUUUUAUUAAUUUGAAACCAGAUUAAAACAUAACUGGGAGUACGAUAAAUUGAACAACUGUGACAAAUAACCAAAUGAAUCCUGUCUUAUUCGAACAUGAACUUUUCGCCAGACUUUCAUUUAUGUUUUAGCUUUGUAACCUCAAGAAAGCAGGUAGAAAAAAAUGUUAAAGAAAAUACAAAAAAUGUUAUGGUCGGAAUUAUGGAGCAUCAUGUUAGCCCAAGUUGAAUAUGAAAAGCAAAAUUCAUGGUGAUAUAAAGAAGGAAUUAUUCGAAGAUAAAGAGUUGUGUAAAGCAAUAAUUGAAAUCAUUCUGCUAAUGCACUUGAGUUCGACGGAAGCAAACAAAAGAUCAAAUAGGAAGCAUUUUAAAGUUCUCUCCAUUAAACAAUUAUUUA
rnacentral:lncRNA from 1 species